UGGGAAAAGGUGACAGUACUUUAAUGCCCUACUGUGAAAGCAUGGGAAAAGGUGACAGUACUUUAAUGCUCUACUGUGAAAGCAUGAGAAAAGGUGACAGUACUUUAAUGCUCUACUGUGAAAGCAUGGGAAAAGGUGACAGUACUUUAAUGCUCUACUGUGAAAGCAUGGGAAAAGGUGACAGUACUUUAAUGCCCUACUGUGAAAGCAUGGGAAAAGGUGACAGUACUUUAAUGCCCUACUGUGAAAGCAUGGGAAAAGGUGACAGCAUUAGCUGUUAUCUGGAGUCAUGGAGGAACAGUCAACAUAUUAUCACAGACUUCCUAAUUCAUC